AUGUGGGCAAACGGGAGCAGCCGUAUGCAGUACCGUUUCUUUGGAGAUGUUGUCACUUUCGACACAACAUAUAGUACUAACUUGUACGACAUGCCUUUUGGAUUACUUGUUGGGGUAAACAAUCAUUUUCAGAGCAUCAUCCUCGCUGGGGUGCUGAUGUGCGACGAGCAGCAAGAGAGCUUCGAAUGGGUUUUCGCCGAGUUCCUUCGAAUGAUGGGAGGACCUGCCCCAAAGACUAUCUUGACAGAUCAGUGCAGAGCUAUGGAACUAGCUAUCAAGAAGGUGUAUCCAGAUACGAUGCAUAGGUGGUGCAAGUGGCACGUGCUGAAGAAAGCAAAGGAGAGUCUAGGACCUUUGUACACCAAAAAAAUGACUUCCAAGCUGAUUUUCACAAAGUCGUGA
rnacentral:rRNA from 1 species